GGAUAUAGCACAGUGGUAGAGCACGUGCUUAGCAUGCACAAGGUUGUGGGUUCAAUCCCCAGUACCUCCA
rnacentral:tRNA from 1 species